rnacentral:tRNA from 1 species
GCCGCGGUAGUAUAGUCCGGUCAAGCAUGUCGUGGCAUGCACCGAGAGUAUGCGGGCCUCUCGAGCCCAUGACCCGGGUUCAAAUCCCGGCCGCGGCACCA